UCCCGGUGGCUCAGUGGUAAAGAACCCACCUCAAAUGCGGGAGACCCAGGUUCAAUCCCUGGGCCAGGAA
rnacentral:tRNA from 1 species